UACGAAGGGGGCGAGCGUUGUUCGGAUUUACUGGGCGUAAAGGGCGCGCAGGCGGUUCUGUUUGUCGAGUGUGAAAGCCCCGGGCUCAACCUGGGAACUGCGCUCGAAACGGCGGAACUAGAGUUCGGGAGAGGAGAGUGGAAUUCCCAGUGUAGAGGUGAAAUUCGUAGAUAUUGGGAAGAACACCGGUGGCGAAGGCGGCGACCUGGUCCUUGACUGACGCUGAGGCGCGAAAGCGUGGGGAGCAAACAGG
rnacentral:rRNA from 1 species